GACGAACGCUGGCGGCGUGCCUAAUACAUGCAAGUAGAACGCUGAAGGAGGAGCUUGCUUCUCUGGAUGAGUUGCGAACGGGUGAGUAACGCGUAGGUAACCUGCCUGGUAGCGGGGGAUAACUAUUGGAAACGAUAGCUAAUACCGCAUAAUAGCAGUUGUUGCAUGACAACUGUUUGAAAGGUGCAAUUGCACCACUACCAGAUGGACCUGCGUUGUAUUAGCUAGUUGGUGGGGUAACGGCUCACCAAGGCGACGAUACAUAGCCGACCUGAGGGGGUGAUCGGCCACACUGGGACUGAGACACGGCCCAGACUCCUACGGGAGGCAGCAGUAGGGAAUCUUCGGCAAUGGACGGAAGUCUGACCGAGCAACGCCGCGUGAGUGAAGAAGGUUUUCGGAUCGUAAAGCUCUGUUGUAAGAGAAGAACGAGUGUGAGAGUGGAAAGUUCACACUGUGACGGUAUCUUACCAGAAAGGGACGGCUAACUACGUG
rnacentral:rRNA from 1 species